AACGAACGCUGGCGGCGCGCCUAAUACAUGCAAGUCGAGCGAGAAGACGUAGCAAUACGUUUGUAAAGCGGCGAACGGGUGAGGAAUACAUGGGUAACCUACCCUCGAGUGGGGAAUAACUAGCCGAAAGGUUAGCUAAUACCGCGUACGCUCCUUGGACUUCGGUUCAUGGAGGAAAGCGAUACCGUGGGUAUCGCGCUCUUGGAUGGGCUCAUGUCCUAUCAGCUUGUGGUGAGGUAACGGCUCACCAAGGCUUCAACGGGUAGCUGGUCUGAGAGGAUGGCCAGCCACAUUGGGACUGAGACACGGCCCAGACUCCUACGGGAGGCAGCAGUGGGGAAUAUUGCGCAAUAGGGCGAAAGCCUGACGCAGCGACGCCGCGUGUGGGGA
rnacentral:rRNA from 1 species